AGCCAAUGACUGAUUGCUGGGCCUCGUGCAGAGAGUCAGGCAUGAAGUUAAGGAUGUGGGGUUUCUUUUUGGAGUGGUGACGUACUCCGGAACUGGUGAUACUGGUUGUACAUGUUGUGCGUGUAGUCAGUUUCAGUAAAUGGCCAAUUUGAAACUGCUGAGAUUUUAUUUAAGAGGCAGACAGCCAGGAGAGUGUUCACAUUUGCUGGUUCCUUCCCAGAUGCUCCCGGUGGCCUGCCGAGCUGGGCCAAGGCUAAAGCUAGGCCUUGGGAAUGCAAUCCAGCUCUCCCGUGGAGGUGGUUGGAACGAUCAAGGCCUAGAUUGGAACGAAUGCGCUUUUGCCAGGUUCUUGCCUGCUAGAGAAGCAGCCUAGGAAUAGGUCCAACUACAGACAAGGGGUCAAGUCAAGUGCUACUGGUUGGUUGUGUGACCUUA